rnacentral:piRNA from 1 species
UGGAAGAAAUUCAGGAUCUGAACA